CGGGACACGUGGUAUCCUGUCUGAAUAUGGGGGGACCAUCCUCCAAGGCUAAAUACUCCUGACUGACCGAUAGUGAACCAGUACCGUGAGGGAAAGGCGAAAAGAACCCCGGCGAGGGGAGUGAAAAAGAACCUGAAACCGUGUACGUACAAGCAGUGGGAGCACGCUUCGGCGUGUGACUGCGUACCUUUUGUAUAAUGGGUCAGCGACUUAUAUUCUGUAGCAAGGUUAACCGAAUAGGGGAGCCGAAGGGAAACCGAGUCUUAACUGGGCGUUAAGUUGCAGGGUAUAGACCCGAAACCCGGUGAUCUAGCCAUGGGCAGGUUGAAGGUUGGGUAACACUAACUGGAGGACCGAACCGACUAAUGUUGAAAAAUUAGCGGAUGACUUGUGGCUGGGGGUGAAAGGCCAAUCAAACCGGGAGAUAGCUGGUUCUCCCCGAAAGCUAUUUAGGUAGCGCCUCGUGAAUUCAUCUCCGGGGGUAGAGCACUGUUUCGGCAAGGGGGUCAUCCCGACUUACCAACCCGAUGCAAACUGCGAAUACCGGAGAAUGUUAUCACGGGAGACACACGGCGGGUGCUAACGUCCGUCGUGAAGAGGGAAACAACCCAGACCGCCAGCUAAGGUCCCAAAGUCAUGGUUAAGUGGGAAACGAUGUGGGAAGGCCCAGACAGCCAGGAUGUUGGCUUAGAAGCAGCCAUCAUUUAAAGAAAGCGUAAUAGCUCACUGGUCGAGUCGGCCUGCGCGGAAGAUGUAACGGGGCUAAACCAUGCACCGAAGCUGCGGCAGCGACACUAUGUGUUGUUGGGUAGGGGAGCGUUCUGUAAGCCUGCGAAGGUGGCCUGUGAGGGUUGCUGGAGGUAUCAGAAGUGCGAAUGCUGACAUAAGUAACGAUAAAGCGGGUGAAAAGCCCGCUCGCCGGAAGACCAAGGGUUCCUGUCCAACGUUAAUCGGGGCAGGGUGAGUCGACCCCUAAGGCGAGGCCGAAAGGCGUAGUCGAUGGGAAACAGGUUAAUAUUCCUGUACUUGGUGUUACUGCGAAGGGGGGACGGAGAAGGCUAUGUUGGCCGGGCGACGGUUGUCCCGGUUUAAGCGUGUAGGCUGGUUUUCCAGGCAAAUCCGGAAAACUAAGGCUGAGGCGUGAUGACGAGGCACUACGGUGCUGAAGCAACAAAUGCCCUGCUUCCAGGAAAAGCCUCUAAGCAUCAGGUAACAUCAAAUCGUACCCCAAACCGACACAGGUGGUCAGGUAGAGAAUACCAAGGCGCUUGAGAGAACUCGGGUGAAGGAACUAGGCAAAAUGGUGCCGUAACUUCGGGAGAAGGCACGCUGAUAUGUAGGUGAAGCGACUUGCUCGUGGAGCUGAAAUCAGUCGAAGAUACCAGCUGGCUGCAACUGUUUAUUAAAAACACAGCACUGUGCAAACACGAAAGUGGACGUAUACGGUGUGACGCCUGCCCGGUGCCGGAAGGUUAAUUGAUGGGGUUAGCGGUAACGCGAAGCUCUUGAUCGAAGCCCCGGUAAACGGCGGCCGUAACUAUAACGGUCCUAAGGUAGCGAAAUUCCUUGUCGGGUAAGUUCCGACCUGCACGAAUGGCGUAAUGAUGGCCAGGCUGUCUCCACCCGAGACUCAGUGAAAUUGAACUCGCUGUGAAGAUGCAGUGUACCCGCGGCAAGACGGAAAGACCCCGUGAACCUUUACUAUAGCUUGACACUGAACAUUGAGCCUUGAUGUGUAGGAUAGGUGGGAGGCUUUGAAGUGUGGACGCCAGUCUGCAUGGAGCCGACCUUGAAAUACCACCCUUUAAUGUUUGAUGUUCUAACGUUGGCCCGUUAUCCGGGUUGCGGACAGUGUCUGGUGGGUAGUUUGACUGGGGCGGUCUCCUCCUAAAGAGUAACGGAGGAGCACGAAGGUUGGCUAAUCCUGGUCGGACAUCAGGAGGUUAGUGCAAUGGCAUAAGCCAGCUUGACUGCGAGCGUGACGGCGCGAGCAGGUGCGAAAGCAGGUCAUAGUGAUCCGGUGGUUCUGAAUGGAAGGGCCAUCGCUCAACGGAUAAAAGGUACUCCGGGGAUAACAGGCUGAUACCGCCCAAGAGUUCAUAUCGACGGCGGUGUUUGGCACCUCGAUGUCGGCUCAUCACAUCCUGGGGCUGAAGUAGGUCCCAAGGGUAUGGCUGUUCGCCAUUUAAAGUGGUACGCGAGCUGGGUUUAGAACGUCGUGAGACAGUUCGGUCCCUAUCUGCCGUGGGCGCUGGAGAACUGAGGGGGGCUGCUCCUA
rnacentral:rRNA from 1 species